UUUGGCAGCACAUAUACUAAAAAAAAAAAAAUUGGAAUGAUACAGAGAAGAUUAGCAUGGCCCCUGCGCUAGGAUGACAUGCAAAUUAGUGAAGUGUUCCCGUCGUGG
rnacentral:snRNA from 1 species